rnacentral:lncRNA from 1 species
AGUAUUUGAUCUUAUUUUGGUUGUUGGAUUUUUCACGUCAAAUGUCACGUAUAGUUUGGUGUGGAGUCUGAUGUGACAAAAUUUUUAAAUAAUAUUAAAUUAUCAUUUUCUCUUUAUUUCUCCCAAUACUUCCUCACAUUUUCUUUCACUUUCUUUCUUCCCAAGCACAAGAUAAUAACAUAAAUUCUAUAAUUAUAAAGAAAAAAUACAAAAAUAUUAUAGAUCAUGUGCAUUUUAGAAAUACAAAAACGUGCAUCAAGCUCAUCCAAGAAUGGCUGGCUUCAACUCCCACUGCUUCUUUACCAUUUCUUUUUCUGCAUACACCAGACACCUCACCAUUUCUUUCUUCUCCACAACUCCCCCACCCGCAAUACCUCACCAGACACCUCCACUCCUUCCUUCUCCAACAUCAUUAACACCCCUUUGUCGAUCAUGUGGUGAGUUUGUUGUGUCAAUGUGCACCAGAUUAUGAGUACGUGCUGUAGGGGAAUGACAUUGACGAUGUUAGGAGAGCUGCCGGAGGAGAGGAUGGCCUGGAUGGAGAGGGAAUGGGCGGCCAAGAAUGGGUCUCAGAGAGACUUGUUGUAUAUGAUUUUAUAUUAUUAUAUUGUGUUUAGGAAGAAGGAAAGUGAAAGAAAAUGAGAGAAAGCGUUCGGAAAAAGAAAAUAUUACUUCGUACAACUAUUUAUGUUAAAUACUAAAUAACUUCAAUUAAAAGAGCUUAAAGUUAGCAGUUAUUUUAAUUUAAAAUAAAACUAUAGCCAUCUGGAAUGCUCAGUUAAAAUCGCUUUUAAGAACAAAAUGAAAU